CAUUACAUAAAAAAAUAUAUUCUAUUGCCCUAAAGAAUUGAUUUUGAUGAGCAUAAAAUAUUUGAGAGGGGCACUAAUGAUUUGUAUAUUUGAAGAUAUUUUAAAAGUUAAUUUCAGGAGAUGUAUAAAAUUUUUGAUUUGUAAAAAUAUUUGGAGAUGGCCAAAGUAGCAAAUUUAUCAAGUUGGAGAUAUAAUUAAAGUUUUUCAGAA
rnacentral:lncRNA from 1 species